UACGGGGGGGCAAGCGUUGUUCGGAAUUACUGGGCGUAAAGGGCUCGUAGGCGGCCAACUAAGUCGGACGUGAAAUCCCUCGGCUUAACCGGGGAACUGCGUCCGAUACUGGUUGGCUUGAAUUCGGGAGAGGGAUGCAGAAUUCCAGGUGUAGCGGUGAAAUGCGUAGAUAUCUGGAGGAAUACCGGUGGCGAAGGCGGCAUCCUGGACCGACAUUGACGCUGAGGAGCGAAAGCUAGGGGAGCAAACAGG
rnacentral:rRNA from 1 species